GUGCUCGCUUCGGCAGCACAUAUACUAAAAAAUUGGAACGAUACAGAGAAGAUUAGCAUGGCCCCUGCGCAAGGAUGACACACAAAUUCGUGAAGUGGAAAUAUGUGAA
rnacentral:snRNA from 1 species